CGCUGGCGGCGUGCCUAAUACAUGCAAGUCGAGCGAACGGACGAGAAGCUUGCUUCUCUGAUGUUAGCGGCGGAAAUGAGUAACACGUGGAUAACCUACCUAUAAGACUGGGAUAACUUCGGGAAACCGGAGCUAAUACCGGAUAAUAUUUUGAACCGCAUGGUUCAAAAGUGAAAGACGGUCUUGCUGUCACUUAUAGAUGGAUCCGCGCUGCAUUAGCUAGUUGGUAAGGUGGGGCUUACCAAGGCAACGAUGCAUAGCCGACCUGAGAGGGUGAUCGGCCACACUGGAACUGAGACACGGUCCAGACUCCUACGGGAGGCAGCAGUAGGGAAUCUUCCGCAAUGGGCGAAAGCCUGACGGAGCAACGCCGCGUGAGUGAUGAAGGUCUUCGGAUCGUAAAACUCUGUUAUUAGGGAACCCAUAUGUGUAAGUAACUGUGCACAUCUUGACGGUACCUAAUCAGAAAGCCACGGCUAACUACGUGCCAGCAGCCGCGGUAAUACGUAGGUGGCAAGCGUUAUCCGGAAUUAUUGGGCGUAAAGCGCGCGUAGGCGGUUUUUUAAGUCUGAUGGGAAAGCCCACGGCUCAACCGUGGAGGGUCAUUGGAAACUGGAAAACUUGAGUGCAGAAGAGGAAAGUGGAAUUCCAUGUGUAGCGGUGAAAUGCGCAGAGAUAUGGAGGAACACCAGUGGCGAAGGCGACUUUCUGGUCUGUAACUGACGCUGAUGUGCGAAAGCGUGGGGAUCAAACAGGAUUAGAUACCCUGGUAGUGCACGCCGUAAACGAUGAGUGCUAAGUGUUAGGGGGUUUCCGCCCCUUAGUGCUGCAGCUAACGCAUUAAGCACUCCGCCUGGGGAGUACGACCGCAAGGUUGAAACUCAAAGGAAUUGACGGGGACCCGCACAAGCGGUCGGCAUGUGGUUUAAUUCGAAGCAACGCGAAGAACCUUACCAAAUCUUGACAUCCUUUGACAACUCUAGAGAUAGAGCCUUCCCCUUCGGGGGACAAAGUGACAGGUGGUGCAUGGUUGUCGUCAGCUCGUGUCGUGAGAUGUUGGGUUAAGUCCCGCAACGAGCGCAACCCUUAAGCUUAGUUGCCAUCAUUAAGUUGGGCACUCUAAGUUGACUGCCGGUGACAAACCGGAGGAAGGUGGGGAUGACGUCAAAUCAUCAUGCCCCUUAUGAUUUGGGCUACACACGUGCUACAAUGGACAAUACAAAGGGCAGCGAAACCGCGAGGUCAAGCAAAUCCCAUAAAGUUGUUCUCAGUUGGAUUGUAGUCUGCAACUCGACUACAUGAAGCUGGAAUCGCUAGUAAUCGUAGAUCAGCAUGCUACGGUGAAUACGUUCGGGGUCUUGUACACACCGUUGUCACACCACGAGAGUUUGUAACACCCGAAGCCGGUGGAGUAACCUUUUAGGAGCUAGCCGUCGAAGGUGGGAC
rnacentral:rRNA from 1 species